rnacentral:rRNA from 1 species
GAUGAACGCUGGCGGCGUGCCUAAUACAUGCAAGUCGAGCGAGAAGCUUGGAAAUGACGCUUCGGUUGAUUUUCCAAGCGGACAGCGGCGGACGGGUGAGUAACGCGUAGGCAACCUGCCCCUGACAGAGGGAUAGCCAUUGGAAACGAUGAUUAAAACCUCAUGACACCGUAGUAGCACAUGCUACAUCGGUCAAAGAUUUAUCGGUCAGGGAUGGGCCUGCGUCUGAUUAACUGGUUGGUGAGGUAACGGCUCACCAAGGUGACGAUCAGUAGCCGACCUGAGAGGGUGAUCGGCCACAUUGGAACUGAGACACGGUCCAAACUUCUACGGAAGGCAGCAGUAGGGAAUCUUGCACAAUGGGCGAAAGCCUGAUGCAGCAACGCCGCGUGAAAGGAUGAAGGCCCUUCGG